GAAGAAGUUCGUCCUGCAGGUGCUGCUGGACAAGUGCGCGGGGGUGGUGCCGAGCAAGGACCUGGUGCCGGUGCUGAAGAACUUCAAGAUCGAGGUGACGCCGGGACGCAUCCGGGUGGCGGCGACGGACAUGGAGCUGUCGGUGAUCGCGGAGUCCGAGUUCGUGAUGGUGGGGCAGAGCGGGACUGCUGUGUUCGACGCGCAGUGGCUGAUGUCCA
rnacentral:misc_RNA from 1 species